rnacentral:rRNA from 1 species
GUAGUUUGACGUCCGUGGCGUCGGAUGAACGCUGGCGGCGUGCCUAAUACAUGCAAGUCGAACGCGGGCACUUGUGCCCGAGUGGCGAACGGGUGAGUAAUACAUAAGGUAACCUGGCCUUUACAGGGGGAUAACUGCUGGAAACGGCAGCUAAGACCGCAUAGGUAGGGACACUGCAUGGUGACCGUAUUAAAAGUGCUGCAAGGCACUGGUAGAGGAUGGACUUAUGGCGCAUUAGCUGGUUGGUGAGGUAACGGCUCACCAAGGCGACGAUGCGUAGCCGACCUGAGAGGGUGACCGGCCACACUGGGACUGAGACACGGCCCAGACUCCUACGGGAGGCAGCAGUAGGGAAUUUUCGGCAAUGGGGGGAACCCUGACCGAGCAACGCCGCGUGAAGGAAGAAGGAAUUCGUUCUGUAAACUUCUGUUAUAAAGGAAGAAAGACGGAUGGAGGAAAUGACAUCCGAGUGACGGUACUUUAGGAGAAAGCCACGGCUAACUACGUG